rfam:Lactobacillus animalis strain 381-IL-28 NODE_4_length_220489_cov_25.534748, whole genome shotgun sequence.
GCCAUUUUAGCUCAGCAGGUAGAGCACCACCAUGGUAAGGUGGGGGUCACCGGUUCAAGUCCGGUAAGUGGCU